rnacentral:ncRNA from 1 species
UAAAGUCUUUAACACAAAGGUUUGGUCCUAGCCUUGAAAUCAGUUUUUACUUAAUAUACACAUGCAAGUCUCCGCACCCCUGUGAAAACGCCCUUAACUUCCUAUCAGGAAUAAGGAGCCGGUAUCAGGCUCAAUCUUUAGCCCAAGACACCUAGCUAUGCCACACCCACAAGGGAAUUCAGCAGUGAUUAACAUUGAGUAUAAGCGCCAGCUUGACUCAGUUAAAGUAAAAAGAGCCGGCAAAUCUGGUGCCAGCCGCCGCGGUUACACCACGAGGCUCAAAUUGAUUUUAUUCGGCGUAAAGCGUGAUUAAAGUUAACCUAAUAACUAUAGUUGCACUAAAACUAAGCUGUGACACGCUUGUCUUUAAGAAACUCAAAAACGAAAGUUACUAUAUUUACAUCAACUUGAACCCACGACAGCUAGGAUACAAACUGGGAUUAGAUACCCCACUAUGCCUAGCAGUAAACUUUUAACUACACCCGUAUCGCCUGGGAACUACGAGCAAAGCUUAAAACCCAAAGGACUUGACGGUACCCCACAUCCACCUAGAGGAGCCUGUCCUAUAAUCGAUAACCCCCGCUUAACCUCACCAUUUUUAGCCUUUCAGCUUGUAUACCUCCGUCGUCAGCUUACCUCGUGAGCGAUUUAUAGUGAGCUUAAUAUCUACACGUUAAUACGUCAGGUCAAGGUGCAGUAAAUAAAAUGGGAAGAGAUGGGCUACACUCUCUAAUAUAGAAUAUACGAAAGACUAUUCAUGAAACCUAGUCAGAAGGCGGAUUUAGUAGUAAAAAGAGAUCAUAGAGCUCUUUUUAACACGGCACUGGGGUGUGUACACACCGCCCGUCACCCUCUUCAAAGCUAAAAAAUAGUACCUAACAUAAUAUGGCAAACCAGAAGAGGCAAGUCGUAACAUGGUAAGUAUACCGGAAGGUGUGCUUGGAAACAAAAUGUAGCUUAAAUAAAGCAUCUUGCUUACACCAAGAAAAUACCUGUGAGACCCAGAUCAUUUUGAGCCAAAAACCUAGCCCCCCCCCCCCCCCCCCCCCCCACCAAUGCAUCACAAUAAUUAUUAUUAAAAAUCAAAACAUUUUUAUAAUUUAGUAAAGGCGAUUGAAAAACUAUUAGGAGCUAUAUUAAGAGUACCGCAAGGGAAAGGUGAAAUAAAAAUGAAAAAAAUUUCAAGCACUCAAAAGUAGAGAUUUAACCUCGUACCUUUUGCAUCAUGGUUUAACUAGUCAAAUCAAGCAAGACGACUUAUAGUUUGACCUCCCGAAACUAGGCGAGCUACUUCAGGGCAGCUUAUUGAGCAAACCCGUCUCUGUUGCAAAAGAGUGGGAAGACCCUCAAGUAGGGGUGACAGACCUAACGAGCUUAGUGAUAGCUGGUUACUCAAGAAAAGGAUUUUAGUCCAGCCUAAAGUCUCAUUAAUAUCUUAAAAUAUAACCACUUUAGAGUAAUUCAAAUAAGGUACAGCCUAUUUGAAACAGGAUACAACCUCAACCAAAGGGUAAUUAUUCUUAAUAACAACCAAGUAGGCCUAAAAGCAGCCAUCUUUUGAAUAGCGUCAAAGCUUAAUUGUUUACACCCUUAAUUCCAAAAAUAAUUUAGAACCCUACAUUAAUACUGAGUAAUUCUAUAUACCUAUAGAACAUUUUAUGUUAAAACUAGUAACAAGAAGAAGACCUUCUCUUAAAUGUAAGUGUAAGUCAAAAAGGACCAACCAGUGACUAUUAACAUUACUGAACAAAAAUUAGCAACCCAACAAGAAAAACCUAAUUUUCAUCAUGUUAAACUAACACAAGAGCAUUACAAGAAAGAUUAAAAGAAAAAGAAGGAACUCGGCAAACAUUAACCUCGCCUGUUUACCAAAAACAUCGCCUCUUGAAUAAAUAUAAGAGGUCCAGCCUGCCCAGUGACUCUGUUCAACGGCCGCGGUAUCCUAACCGUGCGAAGGUAGCGUAAUCACUUGUUCUUUAAAUAAGGACUAGUAUGAAUGGCACCACGAAGGUUAUACUGUCUCCUUUUUUUAAUCAGUGAAACUAAUCUCCCCGUGAAGAAGCGGGGAUAAACUUAUAAGACGAGAAGACCCUAUGGAGCUUUAAACUAAACUACACUUGCUUUUAUAUAUAAACAUUUUCAGAAUGAUUAAUACUUAUCUUAGCUUCAUGAUUUUUAGUUUUAGGUUGGGGUGACCGCGGAGUAAAAUAAAACCUCCACAUUGAAAGGGAUUUUGAACCCUGAGCAAUGAGUCACGACUCUAUGCACCAAUAAAUUGACAUCAAUUGACCCAAUACUUUUGAUCAAUGAACCAAGUUACCCUAGGGAUAACAGCGCAAUCCGCCUCAAGAGCUCCUAUCGACAGGCGGGUUUACGACCUCGAUGUUGGAUCAGGGUAUCCCAGUGGUGCAGCCGCUACUAAAGGUUCGUUGUUCAACGAUAAAA